UUCAAAAUUUUGCUGUUCCAGCUAAAAAGUAUUGUUUUAUUGGUUUCAGGAGCAGCAAUUAACGAUGUUAAAUGAGGCCUGGUUUGAUGUUCGAUAUGAUUUCUUCCAACGGGAUAAGCGAAGCUGGUUCCAGAUCAUUACUAUCAUUUUUAAUCUGUGAUAAAAUAUAAAAAUGUCAACCUCUCA